rnacentral:rRNA from 1 species
UACGAAGGGGGCUAGCGUUGCUCGGAAUCACUGGGCGUAAAGCGCACGUAGGCGGGUCGUUAAGUCAGGGGUGAAAUCCUGGAGCUCAACUCCAGAACUGCCCUUGAUACUGGCGAUCUCGAGUUCGGGAGAGGUGAGUGGAACUGCGAGUGUAGAGGUGAAAUUCGUAGAUAUUCGCAAGAACACCAGUGGCGAAGGCGGCUCUCUGGGACGGUACUGACGCUGAGACGCGAAAGCGUGGGGAGCGAACAGG